rnacentral:rRNA from 1 species
GUGGGGAAUAUUGGACAAUGGGCGCAAGCCUGAUCCAGCCAUGCCGCGUGAGUGAUGAAGGCCCUAGGGUUGUAAAGCUCUUUCACCGAUGAAGAUAAUGACGGUAGUCGGAGAAGAAGCCCCGGCUAACUUCGUGCCAGCAGCCGCGGUAAUACGAAGGGGGCUAGCGUUGUUCGGAAUUACUGGGCGUAAAGCGCACGUAGGCGGAUAUUUAAGUCAGGGGUGAAAUCCCAGAGCUCAACUCUGGAACUGCUUUUGAUACUGGGUAUAUCGAGUAUGGAAGAGGUGAAUGGAAUUCGGAGUGUAGAGGUGAAAUUCGUAGAUAUUGGGAAGAACACCGGUGGCGAAGGCGACACACUGGCUCAUUACUGACGCUGAGGCGCGAAAGCGUGGGGAGCAAACAGGAUUAGAAACCCCUGUAGUCC